AAUAAGUGCAAUUUUGCACUAUUCACCUCCAACGUUUGACCAUUCGUUUUAUUUGAAAUUUUUUUAUGAUUACUAUUUUUAUUGUUAUUAGAUGAUAAAACAUGAAUAGUACUUUAUGUGUGACUAACUUUUUAAAAAAAUUUCAUAAAUUUUUCAAAUAAGACGGACGGUCAAACGUUGGACACAGAUUUCCAUGGCUGCACUUAUU
rfam:Oryza glumipatula chromosome 3, whole genome shotgun sequence.